rnacentral:rRNA from 1 species
GAUGAACGCUGGCGGCGUGCUUAACACAUGCAAGUCGAACGGGAAACCUUUUAUUGAUGCUUCGGCAGAUUUAGCUGGUUUCUAGUGGCGGACGGGUGAGUAACGCGUGGGUAUCCUGCCCUAUACAGGGGGAUAACAACCAGAAAUGGUUGCUAAUACCGCAUAAGCGCACAGGGCCGCAUGGUCCGGUGUGAACAACUCCGGUGGUAUAGGAUGGACCCGCGUUGGAUUAGCCAGUUGGCAGGGUAACGGCCUACCACAGCGACGAUCCAUAGCCGGCCUGAGAGGCAGAACGGCCACAUUGGGACUGGGACGCGGCCCAGACUCCUACGGGAGGCAGGAGUGGGGAAUAUUGCACAAUGGGGGAAACGCUGAAGGAGCGACGCCGCGAGAAGGAAGAAGUAUCUCGGUAAGUAAACUUCGAUAAGCAGGGAAGAUAGUGACGGUACCUGACGAAUAAGCCCCGGCUAACUACGUG